CAAUAGCGUAUAUUAAAGUUGUUGCAGUUAAAAAGCUCGUAGUUGGAUUUGUGGCUGUCACGGGCGGCCUAUCACUUAGUGUUAGUGCUUGCCUGUGUCGCCAUCCUUGGGUGGAGCCCGUGUGGCAUUAGGUUGUCGUGCGGGGGAUGCCCAUCGUUUGCUGUGAGAAAAUUAGAGUGUUCAAAGCAGGCUUAUGCCAUUGAAUAUGUUAGCAUGGAAUAAUAAGAUAGGACCUCGGUACUAUUUUGUUGGUUUGCGCACCGAGGUAAUGAUUAAUAGGGACAGUUGGGGGUAUUCGUAUUUCAUUGUCAGAGGUGAAAUUCUUGGAUUUCUGAAAGACGAACUACUGCGAAAGCAUUUACCAAGGAUGUUUUCAUUAA
rnacentral:rRNA from 1 species